rnacentral:rRNA from 1 species
GUGGGGAAUUGUUCGCAAUGGGCGCAAGCCUGACGACGCAACGCCGCGUGGAGGAUGAAGGUCUUCGGAUUGUAAACUCCUGUUGACCGGGAAGAAUGCCUUCGGGACCAAUACUCCCGGAGGGUGACGGUACCGGUUGAGGAAGCCCCGGCUAACUCUGUGCCAGCAGCCGCGGUAAUACAGAGGGGGCGAGCGUUGUUCGGAAUUACUGGGCGUAAAGGGCGCGUAGGCGGCCAACUAAGUCGGACGUGAAAUCCCCUGGCUCAACCAGGGAACUGCGUCCGAUACUGGAUGGCUAGAAUCCGGGAGAGGGAUGUGGAAUUCCAGGUGUAGCGGUGAAAUGCGUAGAUAUCUGGAGGAACACCGGUGGCGAAGGCGGCAUCCUGGACCGGUAUUGACGCUGAGGCGCGAAAGCCAGGGGAGCAAACGGGAUUAGAUACCCUAGUAGUCC